GAUUCAUUGCGGCAUUCAGCUUUAAAUCGACCCGGAUGUUCUUCGCGCUCACAGUUUGAACGGCCUUUGAAUGGUGCGAGCGUGCGUGAGUGUUUGGUGAGUGUUUGUGUGAGUAAAUGUGGAGUGUUUGAGUGUUUGAGCGUCUGAGUCGGUACUUCUCUUAAAUCUACACAGUGAUCUUAUUUGAUCUGGUCUGAGUUUGGCUCUGCUCCGACCGGAAAUGAUAGGAAAAGCGCUCUCGAGCCUUUAUGGCGAUGAGUAGAAUGCGAGUUAUUAGCGAGGGCCUCCACGCUUCAAUGUUGUGGUCAGAGGUGAUGAGUUGAUCAGAUAUACUAGUUCUAGUGAGUUUGGAUUCAUUUCAAGCUUCACAAUGGACAAUGAGUAAAGAAGCGAUUCUGAUCUAA